ACUCUGAAGUUCCGCGAUCUUCUCUUUGUGCGCGGGCGGAUGGAUCAACGCCGCCAAGUGGGUAAGGUCUGAGGAUUGCGUCAUUAGGCGAUUUUGUUGCUGUACGAACACCACAGAAUGUACUUUGACGACCUAGAUGGUGGAGCCUGGACACACCUCGGCUCUGUGGUGUGGCCUGCUGCUUCCAGGCUGCAAACCUGACAGCAUGGGGCUGUACUGAAUACCGCAGACCAUUGUAAUUCAUGGGGAAAGCGCGAAUGCAGUCCCCCACUACAACAAAUUAUGCAGUCGAGUUUUCCACAUUUGGGAAUAUCACAGGGGUCAGCACAUCCGGAGUGCAAUCGAUGAGCCCCACGCUGGGAAAAACCACCUUCGUGAUCAUGGUAUCUUCCCUGCCAGCAACCUAAUCACAGAGCCUCCCAGCCCGAUGCUACAAAGAGCCGCAUGCUGCCAGUUUCCUUGUGGGCAGGGACCUAUGUAUUAUAAUGGUGAAUAUAUUUAUACUUGAAUCCACAGAGAAGACACAGUAGACUAGUCAUACCAUUGUGAGUAGUGCUCAGAUUCUUUCUUGACCCCCCAUCAUCCAAAAAUAUACCUUUCCAGUGUGGCAGUCUUGAACUUUUCCAAAUUCAGCUGCUGUUGGAGCUCUUCUGUUUUUCCCAGGGAAGGCCGGAGAACUGUAUUUCUGGCCAGAGCUGCUGCAGAAGGUCUCUGUUCGGCAUCAGGUUGGAUCAUGUUCUGAUGAUAUAGGACCAAGAGGAAAGAAACAGAAGCUUCACUAUUGGGAAAAAUCUUCCCAUUCAAGCCAACUCCAACCCAGCUUCUCCUGGUGGAUUUUAGAGAAACCAAUCAGCUUCAUUUUCAACUUCUUCUAUGACUCCAGAGGAUUCACUUUGCAUCUUGUGACAAAUGAAUAUAUUACCUGAAAAAAAAAUGACAGGAUAGAUAUUGAAGAAAUAAUUUUUUAUAGGACUCUGGAGUGAAGGGAUUAAUAUUGACCAGAGCCAAUGAGGUCAUCUCAUCCUUGAGGGGAGCAGGUGUGAGCUUCAAAUGCUUAGGGCCUCUGGAAGGAAGCUUCCCUGUUGGAGAAAUCACCAACCGGCUCAGCAUGGUCUGAAUGAGGAUGACAAAAGGAGUUGCUGCACAGGGGGAAAGCGAAGUUCCCAGGAGUAAGAUGUGCAAGAAGCGGGCAGCCUUGCAUCUCAGGGCUGAGUUCCCUCAACUGUGUGCUUGAGGGAAGUUCUCCCCUUGCAGACACACUGCUGAGUGAUAAGGAAGCACCUAGACUCCACUCUGACCAGACUUGGUUCUGAGGCCUAUGAAAUGUUGAUGGGAAGAACAGAAGCAGGAAAAUCUAUCUAUUCAAAUUUGCAAGACGUGGAAACUUUUAUUCACCUUCCUGGUUAGACUGUUCCUUUGUCAAAGUAAAGCUAAGGCCAUGGAAAAUGAGCUAUUUGAGAGUUUGUCGCUCCAAGGAAGAACAUGCUGGCCUAAUUGUCCCCCAAGUCAGGAGAGAGAAUUGUAAAAAACACUUAAACAGGCCUAAGUAAAGGUCCAGCACAUUAUUUAUUUAAGACUGAAUUAGAACUGAGUCAUUCCGACUCUGAAAAAAGAGUGUUGUUGGAUUCUUAUGUAUUUAAUGGGUCUGCCCUAUUGAAAACCAUUGUGAAGUAUGGUUUCCCAAGCAAGAAAUGACACUUUCACUGUCAGUCUUUCUAGGAGUCUGGCAGAAUCCAGGACCGGGAUUACCCUUAUUUAUGAAGCGACCUUAGACUAACAGUGGCUCUCUGGGUCUCCAGACAAUUGGCCAGGGACUCUAAAAACCAGAAACAAAGUUGAGAGAACUCCAUGCUGGUGGAGAAAAACAGCUGGCCUUUAUCACCAGAAUGUGCCCCAUAGAAGCAGCAAAGCAGCAAGCGACGUUCUUAAACAAGGGCCUGUGGGCCUCGUCAAGAUCUGGAGGAAUCAUCUACGACUCACUGCUGAGUGAGAGGGCUAGGCAGUGUCUUUAAGGUCCUGCCAGCUUUAACAUUGUAUGCUUUUUCUUUUGUUCAAUCUCUCACCACAACUGGAAGUGUUGCCUCAACUACACAGGAGAAAGUUUGCAGUAACUUAGAGAAAACAUUAUUUUAAUCACCAGUGUAUGUUCUCCUGCUCCCUGGACAAAUCCAUCAGCAGCGGCAACACUGACCAGGUCCAGAUUGGGGCCGCUGCGGUGGAUGUGAAUCCAUUGAAACUAGGGGUCUCCAGUGCUCCUGA
ensembl:lncRNA WEE2-AS1 WEE2 antisense RNA 1